rnacentral:tRNA from 1 species
CAAGUUAGAGCUUUAAUAAGUAUUUUAUUUACAUUAAAAGGUUAAUUGUGAAACUCAAUUUAAUUUGA